rnacentral:sRNA from 1 species
GCGCUGCCUUUCGAUCCCUCCACAUCUCGGUGGCGCGGGCUCUCAAGAUGCGCCUCCACCUGCUCCUGCUGCUCGCGCUGUGCGGUGCAGGCACCGCCGCCGCGGCGCUCAGUUACAGCUUGCGGGGCAACUGGAGCAUCUGCAAUGGGAACGGCUCGCUGGAGCUGCCCGGGGCGGUCCCCGGCUGCGUGCACAGCGCCUUGUUCCAGCAGGGCCUGAUCCAGGAUUCUUACUACAGAUUUAAUGACCUUAACUACAGAUGGGUCUCUUUGGAUAACUGGACCUAUAGCAAGGAAUUUAAAAUCCCCUUUGAAAUUAGCAAAUGGCAAAAAGUAAAUUUGAUUCUUGAGGGAGUGGAUACGGUUUCAAAAAUCCUGUUCAAUGAAGUCACUAUUGGGGAAACAGACAAUAUGUUCAAUAGAUAUAGCUUUGAUAUUACCAACGUGGUCAGGGACGUGAACUCCAUUGAGCUGCGUUUCCAGUCAGCGGUGUUGUAUGCAGCACAGCAGAGCAAAGCUCACACUCGCUACCAGGUUCCCCCAGACUGCCCUCCACUUGUGCAGAAGGGUGAAUGCCAUGUCAACUUUGUUCGGAAGGAGCAAUGUUCCUUUAGUUGGGACUGGGGGCCUUCCUUUCCUACCCAGGGAAUCUGGAAAGAUGUUAGAAUUGAAGCCUAUAAUAUUUGUCACCUGAACUACUUCACAUUUUCUCCACUAUAUGAAUGAAGGAUUAAACUGAAGAUUAAAAGAAAAUUUCCAUGAAGUUUUGAUUAUGACAGCAUUGUGGAGCAUGUACUGGAUAAGAGUGCCCAGGAGUGGAAUCUGGAAAUAGAGUCUGCAUUUGAUGUUGUCAGCUCAAAGCCAGUUGGUGGUCAAGUGAUCGUAGCCAUCCCUAAACUGCAAACACAACAGACAUACAACAUUGAACUUCAGCCUGGGAAAAGGAUUGUUGAGCUAUUUGUGAACAUUAGCAAGAAUAUUACUGUAGAAACUUGGUGGCCUCAUGGACAUGGAAACCAGACUGGGUACAACAUGACUAUUCUUUUUGAACUGGAUGGAGGCUUAAAUAUUGAAAAAUCAGCUAAGGUUUAUUUUAGGACAGUGGAACUUGUAGAAGAGCCCAUAAAAGGGUCUCCUGGUUUGAGUUUCUAUUUCAAAAUUAAUGGAUUUCCCAUAUUUCUAAAAGGCUCAAACUGGAUCCCAGCAGAUUCAUUCCAGGACCGAGUAACCUCUGAGUUGUUACGGCUCCUUUUACAGUCUGUUGUGGAUGCUAAUAUGAAUACUCUUCGGGUUUGGGGAGGAGGAAUUUAUGAGCGGGAUGAAUUCUAUGAACUCUGUGAUGAACUAGGAAUAAUGGUAUGGCAGGAUUUUAUGUUUGCCUGUGCCCUUUAUCCAACUGAUCAGGGCUUCCUGGAUUCAGUGAGAGCAGAAGUUGCCUACCAGGUAUGUUAUUACCCUUCCAAGAAGAAAUAAAACACAUAAUAUGUUUUAGUAUUACCUUUUGUUAAAUCUUGCUUCAUUUUGGUUUUUGUUCUCUACUAAAUCCCAUGAAAAAUUACAUAGCCAGGUAAUUGACAUCCUAGGUGAUUCUACCCAGUGUCAUGGCUUUACCAUCAUCUAUUGGCUGAUGACUCCCAGAUUUAUCCCCAGUCCUGAUUUCUCUGCUGAAUUCCUCUUUCUUAUAUCCAACUGCCUACCUGGUGCCUCUGCUUGGAGGUUUAACAGGCAUCUGAAAUGUAACAUGUACGAACUAAACUUAUAUUGCAUCCUCUCCCCAAUCUUGGCUUCUUCUGAAGUUUUCUUCAUCUCAGCAAACAGCAACACCACUGUUUGAAUUGCUCAGGAGGAAAGUUCAAAUUGAUUAUUGAUUCCUUGAUUUAUUUUAGAUUCCACAUAUUGACAUUUAUAUUUAUAUUCACAGAUAUAUAAAUGCAAGGAAGUGAUUAUAUGCUUUCUCUGUCUGCUGAAAAGAUCUAGAAAUAAUGCCCAACGUUAUAGUGUUGAGUAUUCUUAUAUUGAAGUAAUCUUUCCUGUUAAGAGAAAAGCUUCUUAGAGAAAUGGCUGACUCCAGGUCUGGCACAGGAAAUAUAUUAAAUGAUCCUGGAUAUCUUCUUUUUACAAAUGGCAGUGGUGUUAAUAUAAUAUUAUCAACUGAUAAUUUUAGCCACAGAUCUGACGUUUAUGAGCUGUGUGCUGAAUAUACUUAUUUUUCCAUCAAGGUCUGUUUAGGGGAUGAUCAUGCUUUGAAACACAGAUUGCAUUAUAUUUCCUCUCCCCUAAAUUUUAAGUGCAUGGCAUGGGUUUCCAUGUAGAAUCAGAGUGGGAUGCUUGUCAAUACUAGAAAAUUCUAAAUCAUAAUGUACUCCCAAAAUACAGUUUAGGAACCAACUUGUGAGUGUAUCAUAUGCUAGUAAAAUACUACUAAAACAUUGGGCUGAUUCAUUAGCAUCCAUUAGAAAUGAUCACUGCACCAGGAGAUCACCCCUACCUUGUAAAGAGUUUGCAAGACUGUGGAGACAUAUUGAGUUUUUAUAGUGCUCUGCAACAUGUUAAAGAAGGAAACAAAUCCAUUUUCUCGGUAACCUCAGGUAAAGCUACAAUGUGGAUAAUUAUUGACUCUGAUUUCAAUUUCUCAUGUCCAACUGUCUGCCAGAUUUUUUGCAAUGUUGAUAUACAAAGAACAAAUAUUUUGAUAUUUCUUCUUGAAUGGUAAGUCUGCAACCUUAGGGAGGUCACUUUACCUCUUGAGCCUUAAUUUCUGUAUCUAUAACUCUAGGAUGAUGUCACUCCUCAUGAAACUGUUUCAAAGAUUAAAUAGGAUAAUACAUGUAAGGCAUGCAGUUCAAAAGAAAUAACAAAUAAUAGCAGCUGUCACACUAACUCAGCAUGUCUUUGAAGUACAUCUAUUAUCUUUUACCCAAUGCACUCUUUCAAGAUUUUUCUUUUUAGCAGGAAAUGUGAAAGUCAUUGAUACUUUCUUCUUUCUCACCUCCCACAUCCAUCUGGUUUUGAGACAAUUUUUUGAUACCAAUGUUACUUGUAUUUGUAUUUACUUUCUCACCCCUGUACUUACUACUCUAAUUCAAAUCCUAUUUUUCCCUCUCCUCAAUCAUUGCAUUUGUUUUCUGAUUGGACUCCCUAGCAUUGGUCUCUUUCAAUAUGUGCAUACUCAACAGAGUUGCCAAAGUCAUCUUCCACUGACACAUUUUAAGUCAUACCACAUUCCUGCUCAGAACCCCGAUCCUGGAAUAUCUCAACAUGCAGAUAACAAGGAAGCUAUCGAAGUUAUGUCAAAAGGAUUUUGAGAGACUCCGAGCAACCAAAAGGGGGAUAAUUUGAGAUUCAAUAAGGAUAAGGAUAUCAAUGAAUUGAAUCCAUCAAGUGUGUCUGCAGAUGUAUAUUUUGUGAAAAACCAUACAGAAAUGCAAGGAAGCCAUUUCUAUAACACUAUAAUACUCUAGACAGUGGUUACUUUUGGAAGGAGGAAGGGGCUGUGAUUAGGAAGAGGCACAUGGAUGGCUUCCGGCAUGGCUGCACUGGGUGGUGGCUACAAGGGUGAUUGCUUUACAAUAAUUAACCGUGUCAUAAUUUGUUUUCUGUAACUGUGUUUCAUUUUAAAAUAAAAGGUUUAAAAAGUACAAUUGAACUCCUUCCCUUGCCAACACCUCCCCUGAGGUGGCUUCUUGACCUCUGGAUAAGGUACAAGAUCCUCUUAUGCAGGACUCCAGCCUGCUGGUGUCUGCACCUGUUCAGGCACCAUCUCCGUCUUGCUGUCUAUGUCCUGGAACAUCUUCUCCAUCCACUGCCCUUGUGGGCCACCUCCUUUGUUCUCCUUUGGCCCCUCUUACCUUAAGCAUGGGAAAAACCUUUUGCCUUUUGAGACACACAUCACACUUUGAAUUACUUGUUCAAGGAUUUGUCACCUCUGCAAGAUUGUCAUCUCCCUGAGGCCUAGGACUUAUUCCCCUCUGCGUCCCCACUCUGUGGAUUAUUCACAAAGUGGAUAGAUGAAUGGAUGAAUGAAUAACUUUAAACAUAUUAAUUAUAGUUACACAGGUUGCAAGCAUUUCGGUUUUAUUUUUAGUUUUCUUUCAUAUAAAUAAUUAAAAUAUAACAUCUAUGUAUCUUCAGUUCUUUGAUGCAUUAUUAAAGAUCAGGAGAGCCAUUUCAUGCAGAGUUUGUUAAAAUUUUAAAGUAAAGCUUACCAUAAAACUCUAAGUCAGCUUGACGGUUGUAUGUAACACGGUGCCACUGAAGCUUUUUGCCACUUCAGGAUUUAUAUUUGUAUUUUCAUCAGUGGCAUAAAUAUGUCAGUCACAGUUGGUAGCAGCUGUCCCUUUCUUGGGCAUGUACAAAGACAAAGAAAGGAAACAGUGUUUAUAUGGCUGGCUGAGAAAAACACAAGACUUAAUUUUUUAAAAAAUGAAAUAUAUCUCUUUAAUAUACCUUCAGUGCAUCUCUAUUUCAUCUAUGUGAGUUUCUGAGCUUCUUGAAUGGAGAACACACUGAGAGCAUCAGUUGGGGGCCAUCAGUGUAAUCAUGCAUCACAGCGAAAGUGAACCUAUAAAUAUCAAUGAGGUAACAUUGCCAAAACAUGUUCCAAAAGAAUUUUUCUUGACCAUUGACUCACUCUGCCAUUCUCAGAGGAAUUUAAUUGCUCUCUACUGGGGCACAUGUCCUAGUGUGUUAGAAGAAGGGACAUGUCUGAGUCUGUCCAGUGCAAAAAUAACACAAGUGGAUCCUUUUGCCUUUAUGUAGGGCCAGCUCAGAUGAGCUCAGUUUAUGCAGGCCUCAUGUGGCACGGUUUUCAGGUAGAUUCUCUAAUCUUCCCUUUUAUAUUUAGAUAUAUUCAGUAACUUAAUGUUAGUUGAUUUCUCAGGACAUGACAUUGAUAGUUAUUUCAGGAGACAUCACCCUGAUUGCCCUAAUCUGUUUUCCUUUAGAGUAUUCCAUAUUUGUCUUUAACUGCCAGCAUACCUCUAGUACUCACUUGCUUUGUAAAACCUUCUCUAGUUCCCCUUCUGGUUUUCUGAUCUCAGUGAGGACUGCAUAGGAACCUCCCUCCUUCUUUCAGUGGUAGUGUUUGCUUUGCCUCAUUUGUUUCUUCCCACAGAACUCCAAUUUGUCCAAUUUGCUCUUAAGAACCAAUCCCCAAAAUAUAAUGUCUCCUGCCUUUUGUAUUUCCUGAAAGUUUUCUUUGUGGCAAUCCACAGAGUGAAGAGUUUAUUCAUUCCCCUUUUCUUUCUCUUUCUUAAAAAAGAUUAUAUUACCUUCAGUUUUUAUAUAGCAGAGAAGAGAAACCCUAUGUAUCAGUGUUUAUAAAAUCUAGUUAAAAAGAAUCUCAGAGAUUUCUUAAAAUGUAUUCCUGCAGCUAACAUGACUAGCCAUUUUCAAAUUAGGUUUUUGGCACAUAAGAAUUUAUGUGCAGAAAUGCAAGGGCUCUAAUUUUAUGAGUAAUUAUAGCUCUGAGUUUUUUAUGUUAACUCUUUGAGAAUCAUUUUAUGUUUUCUUAAUUUUCAGAUCAAGAGACUGAAAUCUCAUCCUUCUGUCAUCAUAUGGAGUGGCAAUAAUGAAAAUGAGGAGGCGCUGAUGAUGAAUUGGUAUCAUAUCAGUUUCACUGACCGGCCAAUCUACAUCAAGGACUAUGUGACACUGUAUGUGAAAAACAUCAGAGAGCUCGUAUUGGCAGGAGACAAGAGUCGUCCUUUUAUUACGUCCAGUCCUACAAAUGGGGCUGAAACUGUUGCAGAAGGCUGGGUCUCUCAAAACCCUAAUAGCAAUUAUUUUGGUGAUGUACAUUUUUAUGACUAUAUCAGUGAUUGCUGGAACUGGAAAGUUUUCCCAAAAGCUCGAUUUGCAUCUGAAUAUGGAUAUCAGUCCUGGCCAUCCUUCAGUACAUUAGAAAAGGUCUCGUCUACGGAGGACUGGUCUUUCAAUAGCAAGUUUUCACUUCAUCGACAACAUCAUGAAGGUGGUAACAAACAAAUGCUUUAUCAGGCUGGGCUUCAUUUCAAACUCCCCCAAAGCACAGAUCCAUUACGCACAUUUAAAGAUACCAUCUACCUUACUCAGGUGAUGCAGGCCCAGUGUGUCAAAACAGAAACUGAAUUCUACCGCCGCAGUCGCAGCGAGAUAGUGGAUCAGCAAGGGCACACGAUGGGGGCACUUUAUUGGCAGUUGAAUGACAUCUGGCAAGCUCCUUCCUGGGCUUCUCUUGAGUACGGAGGAAAGUGGAAAAUGCUUCAUUACUUUGCUCAGAAUUUCUUUGCUCCACUGUUGCCAGUAGGCUUUGAGAAUGAAAACACGUUCUAUAUCUAUGGUGUGUCAGAUCUUCACUCGGAUUAUUUGAUGACACUCACUGUGAGAGUCCAUACAUGGAGCUCCCUGGAGCCCGUGUGCUCUCGUGUGACUGAACAUUUUGUGAUGAAAGGAGGAGAGGCUGUCUGCCUUUAUGAGGAGCCAGUGUCUGAAUUGCUGAGGAGAUGUGGGAAUUGCACACGGGAAAGCUGUGUGGUUUCCUUUUACCUUUCAGCUGACCAUGAACUCCUGAGCCCGACCAACUACCACUUCCUGUCCUCACUGAAGGAGGCCGUGGGGCUCUGCAAGGCGCAGAUCACUGCCAUCAUCUCUCAGCAAGAUGACAUAUUUGUUUUUGACCUGGAGACCACAGCUGUCGCUCCCUUUGUUUGGUUGGAUGUAGGAAGCAUCCCAGGGAGAUUUAGUGACAAUGGUUUCCUCAUGACUGAGAAGACACGAACUAUAUUAUUUUACCCUUGGGAGCCCACAAGCAAGAAUGAAUUGGAGCAAUCUUUUCAUGUGACCUCCUUAACAGAUAUUUACUGAAGGAAUCUAGGUUGUAUUUUCAGUGGACAAUGGGAAUAAAGCAUUUCUAAAGCACCGACUGGAGAGGAAGGCAACAGAGACAAGGAGAGAAGCCGAGAGACAUGUCUGCGUGGUGCCACGCAUCUGAGCGAUUGCUCUGUGAAGAGUUGUACACUGAACACUUUCAGGGGAGGCUGUUUACCCAGGCAAUGUCCUCAAACAAGCCUGUGCUGGGGUGUCCUGGAAUCUGGGCCAGGACUGUGUUUUUAGCCCUUCACCUCUCAGCUUUAGCAGGACAUGAACCAGUUAUAACAAGAUGGCCCUGCAGCUGGUUACAAGAAUGUGACAUGGCAGGAUCUAUGGAACCAAAUGGAAGGUUUUGUGGUGAUGUAGGUCUUUCACAGUUAGCUUUGGGGAAUACUGAAUACUUAAAUAAAGUGCUUUGUUAUCAUUUCAGAGGGAAUGGCGUUUGAAAUGUUACAACAGAGAUUUCUUGGUGGUAGCUAUUUGGGUAAAGGUAUAUGGGUAUUUUUCUGUACGUGUGAAAUUAUAUAAAAAUAAAAGUUACAUAAAUUACAUUGACAACUUGA